UACGUAGGGGGCGAGCGUUGUCCGGAAUGAUUGGGCGUAAAGGGCGCGCAGGCGGCCUGUCAAGUCAGUAGUGGAAGUCCAUUUUUCAAGGAUGGAAGUGCUAUAGAAACUGAUGGGCUUGAGUGCAGGAGAGGUUAUCGGAAUUCCCGGUGUAGCGGUGAAAUGCGUAGAUAUUAGGAAGAACACCAGUGGCGAAGGCGACUUACUGGACUGAAACUGACGCUGAGGCUCGAAAGCGUGGGGAGGCAAACAGGAUUAGAUACCCCGUA
rnacentral:rRNA from 1 species